CGCGGCCUAUCAGCUUGUUGGUGAGGUAAUGGCUCACCAAGGCGACGACGGGUAGCCGGCCUGAGAGGGUGACCGGCCACACUGGGACUGAGACACGGCCCAGACUCCUACGGGAGGCAGCAGUGGGGAAUAUUGCACAAUGGGCGAAAGCCUGAUGCAGCGACGCCGCGUGAGGGAUGACGGCCUUCGGGUUGUAAACCUCUUUCAGUAGGGAAGAAGCGAAAGUGACGGUACCUGCAGAAGAAGCGCCGGCUAACUACGUGCCAGCAGCCGCGGUAAUACGUAGGGCGCAAGCGUUAUCCGGAAUUAUUGGGCGUAAAGAGCUCGUAGGCGGUUUGUCGCGUCUAUCGUGAAAGUCCGAGGCUCAACCUCGGAUCUGCGGUGGGUACGGGCAGACUAGAGUGAUGUAGGGGAGACUGGAAUUCCUGGUGUAGCGGUGAAAUGCGCAGAUAUCAGGAGGAACACCGAUGGCGAAGGCAGGUCUCUGGGCAUUAACUGACGCUGAGGAGCGAAAGCAUGGGGAGCGAACAGGAUUAGAUACCCUGGUAGUCCAUGCCGUAAACGUUGGGCACUAGGUGUGGGGGACAUUCCACGUUUUCCGCGCCGUAGCUAACGCAUUAAGUGCCCCGCCUGGGGG
rnacentral:rRNA from 1 species